rnacentral:rRNA from 1 species
GAACUCAAAGGAGACUGCCGGUGAUAAACCGGAGGAAGGUGGGGAUGACGUCAAGUCAUCAUGGCCCUUACGAGUAGGGCUACACACGUGCUACAAUGGCAGAUACAAAGAGAAGCGACCUCGCGAGAGCAAGCGGAACUCAUAAAGUCUGUCGUAGUCCGGAUUGGAGUCUGCAACUCGACUCCAUGAAGUCGGAAUCGCUAGUAAUCGUAGAUCAGAAUGCUACGGUGAAUACGUUCCCGGGCCUUGUACACACCGCCCGUCACACCAUGGGAGUGGGUUGCAAAAGAAGUAGGUAGCUUAACCUUCGGGAGGGCGCUUACCACUUUGUGAUUCAUGACUGGGGUGAAGUCGUAACAAGGUAACCGUAGGGGAACCUGCGGUUGGAUCACCUCCUUA